rnacentral:tRNA from 1 species
GGCGAGGUAGCUCAGGUGGUCAGAGCGCAGGAUUCAUAACCCUGAGGUCGGGAGUUCAAGUCUCCCUCUCGCUA